rnacentral:lncRNA from 1 species
UACUUAGUAUGCCAUGCGUGGACGCUGCACGAUGACCGCUUUAAUCUCUUGCAUUAUACACAGUUUUGAGGGAAAUGCAAAGCAUGGCGUGUAGCUCAGUACCCUGACCAACUUCUGGAACGUCCUGUUCAUAAUUGUACUGUGUCCUCUUCCAUUUUGAAUCAAUUUGCGUUCUCGUGCUACUCAGGCCGUGCACCAGUCUUCAAAAAACAAUGAUGUCGCGUCCCACCUCAAUCCAUAACCUAUGACCUCUUCUCAUAACUGCACGGCGGGCGCCGAGAGUGGUGUAUUUUUGCAGAAGGAAAAAUGUUCUCCUUUUUUGUCGCUAACUGACAGUUUUGUCCAGAAGUAAUGGCCACAGACCAAGACGACAGGAGAACAUUCUCGCCUUGCCUCGUUCGGGUCAACCACAUCCUCUGACCAAUUCCCUACACCUAGCGGCAUGACGGCUUUGCGGAGACAGUUCAAAGCGAAAGGUUUUUCGUCGGAGGUUGCUAUAGAUGAACCAUUUCAACGUAUCGCCAAAACAUUGGAGGUGUCCAGUUGGUUGACCUUGAAGUCAUUCUAGAGUGCAGCUUCAAGUUGGGAGUUGUUUUUAGUUUUGAACUUUCGGCCCACCCAGUUUCUCUGAGUCUGAUCACCCACCCCUCAUGUGAGCUAUGAGAAGAGGUCAUAGGUCAGAGGUUGAGGUGGGACGUGACGUCAUUGUUUUUUGAAGACUGGUGCACCGCCUGUGUAGCACGAGAACGCUAAUUGAUUCUCACCUUCAGAGGACUUGUAUAACCAAGAUUAUACAGCAGGUCUGUCUUGGGAGGGGCUUGGAUUACUCGAGAGGCAGUCGACAGCGGAGAAAGGUGCAUAUCCUGUCGCCUGCCGCCCAGUCAUGACGGAGGUGUGAUCCCUGUCAGAGAAUUCCCGGCAGAUAAAGCAAAUUGCAAACCCCAAUAUAGGAACGUCAUGCCAUGAGCUUGAGGCUGUAUUUUUCACGUUUGUCGUAAAAAGUUUAGACAACCCGAUUGUUUGAUGGUAGAUUGAUAUUA